rnacentral:rRNA from 1 species
GGUCAAGUGAAGAAGCGCAUACGGUGGAUGCCUUGGCAGUCAGAGGCGAUGAAAGACGUGGUAGCCUGCGAUAAGCUUCGGGGAGUCGGCAAACAGACUUUGAUCCGGAGAUCUCUGAAUGGGGGAACCCACUCAGCAUAAGCUGAGUAUCUUGUACUGAAUACAUAGGUGCAAGAGGCGAACCAGGGGAACUGAAACAUCUAAGUACCCUGAGGAAAAGAAAUCAACCGAGAUUCCCUUAGUAGUGGCGAGCGAACGGGGACUAGCCCUUAAGUGGCUUUGAGAUUAGCGGAACGCUCUGGAAAGUGCGGCCAUAGUGGGUGAUAGCCCUGUACGCGAAAAUCUCUUAGUCAUGAAAUCGAGUAGGACGGAGCACGAGAAACUUUGUCUGAAUAUGGGGGGACCAUCCUCCAAGGCUAAAUACUACUGACUGACCGAUAGUGAACCAGUACCGUGAGGGAAAGGCGAAAAGAACCCCGGAGAGGGGAGUGAAAUAGAACCUGAAACCGUAUGCGUACAAGCAGUGGGAGCCUACUUUGUUAGGUGACUGCGUACCUUUUGUAUAAUGGGUCAGCGACUUAUAUUCAGUGGCGAGCUUAACCGAAUAGGGGAGGCGUAGCGAAAGCGAGUCUUAAUAGGGCGUUUAGUCGCUGGGUAUAGACCCGAAACCGGGCGAUCUAUCCAUGGGCAGGUUGAAGGUUAGGUAACACUGACUGGAGGACCGAACCGACUACCGUUGAAAAGUUAGCGGAUGACCUGUGGAUCGGAGUGAAAGGCUAAUCAAGCUCGGAGAUAGCUGGUUCUCCUCGAAAGCUAUUUAGGUAGCGCCUCAUGUAUCACUGUAGGGGGUAGAGCACUGUUUCGGCUAGGGGGUCAUCCCGACUUACCAAACCGAUGCAAACUCCGAAUACCUACAAGUGCCGAGCAUGGGAGACACACGGCGGGUGCUAACGUCCGUCGUGAAAAGGGAAACAACCCAGACCGUCAGCUAAGGUCCCAAAGUUAUGGUUAAGUGGGAAACGAUGUGGGAAGGCUUAGACAGCUAGGAGGUUGGCUUAGAAGCAGCCACCCUUUAAAGAAAGCGUAAUAGCUCACUAGUCGAGUCGGCCUGCGCGGAAGAUGUAACGGGGCUCAAACCAUACACCGAAGCUACGGGUAUCACUUAGGUGAUGCGGUAGAGGAGCGUUCUGUAAGCCUGUGAAGGUGAGUUGAGAAGCUUGCUGGAGGUAUCAGAAGUGCGAAUGCUGACAUGAGUAACGACAAUGGGAGUGAAAAACUCCCACGCCGAAAGACCAAGGUUUCCUGCGCAACGUUAAUCGACGCAGGGUUAGUCGGUCCCUAAGGCGAGGCUGAAAAGCGUAGUCGAUGGAAAACAGGUUAAUAUUCCUGUACUUCUAGUUAUUGCGAUGGAGGGACGGAGAAGGCUAGGCCAGCUUGGCGUUGGUUGUCCAAGUUUAAGGUGGUAGGCUGAGAUCUUAGGUAAAUCCGGGAUCUUAAGGCCGAGAGCUGAUGACGAGUUGCCAUUAGGCGACGAAGUGGUUGAUGCCAUGCUUCCAAGAAAAGCUUCUAAGCUUCAGAUAACUAGGAACCGUACCCCAAACCGACACAGGUGGUUGGGUAGAGAAUACCAAGGCGCUUGAGAGAACUCGGGUGAAGGAACUAGGCAAAAUGGCACCGUAACUUCGGGAGAAGGUGCGCCGGUGAGGGUGAAGGACUUGCUCCGUAAGCCCAUGCCGGUCGAAGAUACCAGGCCGCUGCGACUGUUUAUUAAAAACACAGCACUCUGCAAACACGAAAGUGGACGUAUAGGGUGUGACGCCUGCCCGGUGCCGGAAGGUUAAUUGAUGGGGUUAGCUAACGCGAAGCUCUUGAUCGAAGCCCCGGUAAACGGCGGCCGUAACUAUAACGGUCCUAAGGUAGCGAAAUUCCUUGUCGGGUAAGUUCCGACCUGCACGAAUGGCGUAACGAUGGCGGCGCUGUCUCCACCCGAGACUCAGUGAAAUUGAAAUCGCUGUGAAGAUGCAGUGUAUCCGCGGCUAGACGGAAAGACCCCGUGAACCUUUACUAUAGCUUUGCACUGGACUUUGAAUUUGCUUGUGUAGGAUAGGUGGGAGGCUUUGAAGCGUGGACGCCAGUUCGCGUGGAGCCAUCCUUGAAAUACCACCCUGGCAACUUUGAGGUUCUAACUCAGGUCCGUUAUCCGGAUCGAGGACAGUGUAUGGUGGGUAGUUUGACUGGGGCGGUCUCCUCCUAAAGAGUAACGGAGGAGUACGAAGGUGCGCUCAGACCGGUCGGAAAUCGGUCGUAGAGUAUAAAGGCAAAAGCGCGCUUGACUGCGAGACAGACACGUCGAGCAGGUACGAAAGUAGGUCUUAGUGAUCCGGUGGUUCUGUAUGGAAGGGCCAUCGCUCAACGGAUAAAAGGUACUCCGGGGAUAACAGGCUGAUACCGCCCAAGAGUUCAUAUCGACGGCGGUGUUUGGCACCUCGAUGUCGGCUCAUCACAUCCUGGGGCUGAAGCCGGUCCCAAGGGUAUGGCUGUUCGCCAUUUAAAGUGGUACGCGAGCUGGGUUUAGAACGUCGUGAGACAGUUCGGUCCCUAUCUGCCGUGGACGUUUGAGAUUUGAGAGGGGCUGCUCCUAGUACGAGAGGACCGGAGUGGACGAACCUCUGGUGUUCCGGUUGUCACGCCAGUGGCAUUGCCGGGUAGCUAUGUUCGGAAGAGAUAACCGCUGAAAGCAUCUAAGCGGGAAACUUGCCUCAAGAUGAGAUCUCACUGGAGCCUUGAGCUCCCUGAAGGGCCGUCGAAGACUACGACGUUGAUAGGUUGGGUGUGUAAGCGCUGUGAGGCGUUGAGCUAACCAAUACUAAUUGCCCGUGAGGCUUGACCAU